GACGAACGCUGGCGGCGUGCCUAAUACAUGCAAGUCGAGCGAGCGAAACUAAAGGAUGUUCUUCGGUAGUGACGGUAGGACAGGGAGCGGCGGAGGGGAGAGCAACACGUGGGGAACCGGCCCCAUAGUCUGGGAUACCACUUGGAAACAGGUACAAAUACCGGAUCAGAAAGCAGAUCGCAUGAUCAGCUUUGAAAAGACGGCGUAAGCUGUCGCCAUGGGAUGGCCCCGCGGUGCAUUAGCUAGUUGGUAAGGUAAAGGCUUACCAAGGCGAUGAUGCAUAGCCGAGUUGAGAGGCUGAUCGGCCACACUGGAACUGAGACACGGCCCAGACUCCUACGGGAGGCAGCAGUAGGGAAUCUUCCGCAAUGGGCGCAAGUCUGAUGGAGCAACGCCGCGUGAGUGAAGAAGGUCUUCGGAUCGUAAAGCUCUGUUGUUAGUGAAGAAGGUUUGUGGUAGUAACUGGGCUUUUUUUGACGGUAACCAACCAGAAAGUCACGGCUAACUACGUG
rnacentral:rRNA from 1 species